rnacentral:rRNA from 1 species
GACGGAAGGUGCAAGCGUUGCUCGGAAUCACUGGGCGUAAAGGGUGCGUAGGCGGCCUGGUAAGUCUGGCGUGAAAGCCCAGGGCUCAGCCCUGGAAGUGCGCUAGAAACUGCGAGGCUCGAGUGCCGGAGGGGAGAGUGGAAUUCCUGGUGUAGCGGUGAAAUGCGCAGAUAUCAGGAGGAACACCUAUUGCGAAGGCAGCUCGCUGGGACGUUACUGACGCUGAGACGCGAAAGCGUGGGGAGCAAACAGG